GUAGGGAAUAUUGGGCAAUGGUCGGAAGACUGACCCAGCCAUGCCGCGUGCAGGAAGACGGCCCUCUGGGUUGUAAACUGCUUUUAUCUGGGAAGAAAAAGGCCAUGCGUGGCAAAUUGCCGGUACCAGAUGAAUAAGCACCGGCUAACUCCGUGCCAGCAGCCGCGGUAAUACGGAGGGUGCGAGCGUUGUCCGGAUUUAUUGGGUUUAAAGGGUGCGUAGGCGGCUGAUUAAGUCAGCGGUGAAAGACUUCGGCUUAACCGGAGCAGUGCCGUUGAUACUGGUUGGCUUGAGUGUCGGAGGGGUACAUGGAAUUGAUGGUGUAGCGGUGAAAUGCAUAGAUACCAUCAGGAACACCGAUAGCGAAGGCAUUGUACUGACCGACAACUGACGCUGAUGCACGAAAGUGUGGGGAUCGAACAGGAUUAGAAACCCGUGUAGUCC
rnacentral:rRNA from 1 species